rnacentral:rRNA from 1 species
UACGUAGGGGGCUAGCGUUGUCCGGAAUCAUUGGGCGUAAAGCGCGUGUAGGCGGCCCGGUAAGUCCGCUGUGAAAGUCGGGGGCUCAACCCUCGAAUGCCGGUGGAUACUGUCGGGCUCGAGUACGGAAGAGGCGAGUGGAAUUCCUGGUGUAGCGGUGAAAUGCGCAGAUAUCAGGAGGAACACCGAUUGCGAAGGCAGCUCGCUGGGACGUAACUGACGCUGAGGCGCGAAAGCGUGGGGAGCAAACAGG